rnacentral:tRNA from 1 species
GGAGAGUUGGCAGAGAGGCCGAAUGCGGUCGAUUGAUAUUCGGCUGGCUGGUUACGUACUGGCCCGGGGGUUCGAAUCCCCCACCCUCCGCCC